ensembl:lncRNA
CCUUGCGUGGCUUAAUCCGCCGCCGGGUGUGUGAACGUGUGCAUGAAUGGGAGAAUGGGAGGCAGUGUUGUAAAGCGCUUUGAGUGGUCACCGCGAGCAUCUGCCGGUGAGUCACAGAGUUAAUCAGUCACUUCAGAUCCUCUUUAAUGGGCCAUUGGUUUCAUGGGGGCACCUGCCGACUCAAAAGGGGGAAGAACCUGGGACGGGCGGGUCGGUCCAUUGUUCUAAACCCAGGUCCCGCGUUUCGCCCAAACCAUGGGUUCCUAGGAACCUGGAGAGAUAGCCAAGACAGCCUCACGAGGGCCCAUUCUACACAGAGACGUUAGGCCCCCCGUCUGUUUGGUUGGUUGUCUGGAUCGCUAUGUUUCUACACAGGGUUUUUUUAUUGUGUUUCUCCGAUGGGGGAGAGGAAAGCGAUCCCGUGACGUGAUUCACAGUCCGAGGUCAGAGCCCGCGUUUGGUGACGUCAUCAUCGUUUGGCCGUACCGUCCCCCAGCCAAAGGUCCCGGGGUCGAGACUGAGACGAAACAGACGGCCCUGUCUGAUGUUAAUGUUUACAUUAUGUAUAUCUUGUUUAUUACAAAUUAGAAGCCGUGAUUCUCUCGGUUGCCCGAGUUUACGUUUCCUCCUUUCCUUGUCUUACAUUACAACGGCGUACAGUCAUUUCCUGUGUGGGAUUAUUAAAGUAUCGUGUUAUCUUAUCUGAGACGGAGGCUGUAAGCACACAUUUCUGACCCCCCCUCUUUGAUCUCAUAACCGGGUGUUUCCGGAACGUUGCAUCAGUCAGAGUGGGUGACUAAUGGCUGCUGCGAUUUAAAAAAGGAUCAUUUGUUUCCUCUCUGAUGCAGCUGACGCUAUUGAGCAUUCAAAUCGGUCUGUACGUCUGUCUGCCUGACUGCCUGUCUGCCUGACUGACUGUCUGUUUGUCCUUAUGCCUGUCUGGCUGCCUUUCUGCCUGUCUGUCUGUCUUUAACUGUCUGCCUGUCUGUGUCUAGCUGUCUGCAUGUCUGUGUCUGCCUGUCUGCCUGACUGCCUGUCUGGCUGCCUGUGGGCCUGUUUGUCUUCCUGCCUGCCUGUCUACCUGUCUGUCUGUUCCAUUCAUUCCUUUCUUGGUGCGGUUCUCGUCUUUCUUGAUGUUCAUUCAUCAUGUCUUCCUUCGUCCCGCCUCCUGUUUGUAAAUGCCUUGCGUCG